ensembl:lncRNA
UAUUUUUGUACUCUAUAUUGAGAGCUUUUUUUUUUUUUUUUCCAAAUUGGAAUUAAUCUAUUGAAACCUAAGAGGUAGGCAAAUGUCUUCUGUUGAUGUACAUAAAAAUAGGCAAUAAGUUUGAUGCUCAUGAGCAUCAGACCUCUAACAAAAGCUAAUUAAACUGUUUUCCAAAGAUAGGUAAAAUUUAUCAGAGGUAUUUAAGAUUUAUAAACUCUGAAAAGCCAGCUCUUCCUAGUCUUCUGUUUGUAACUUACUCUACCUACUGCAAGGUAUUUUUGUAAGAAUGCCAGUGUAAGAAAUCAACCAUUCUUCCCAGAUGGUCUGAUCAGUAUUUCUUUUAUCUACUGCUGAGAGAAAAGAUGAGUUAGGUAAUCUAUAAAUAUAUAGUCUGCAUUUAAAUACUGUCAAAACCAUCAAUAAUUAGGCUGUACCAGGAAACAGAGCUUUGCAGAAAGUAUGUGUGUAGGAAAGCACUAUCUUUUCCUGUUCUGCCAGCACUAGUCUUGCUCUUUAGCCAUAUAGCACAAGGCCAUUUUUAAAAAAGACUCUCAGAGCCGGAAGAAACCCCAGUGCCUAGUGGGGCCGUGCCUUGAAGUCACCUUGGCAGCUUUUGCUUUUGUUUUUUCAAAUGCACUUGACUGUGCCCCCCUCCCCAGUUGUAAUUGGAAGGGGAACAUAUAUAUAUGUAGAAAGAUUUUUCUCAAUUAUAAUGUCAUCCCUCCCACCUCUAACCUUAUAAUGACCUAAGGAGUUUCUCGUUUAUUUAUGCUCAUAUUGUUAGUGACAGAGUCAUGUGAGGUCUUUUUUGCAGUAAAUACUAUAAGUAGAAUCUUCUGUUUUACAUACUUAGCUAUUAAAAAAAAAAUCCUAAAACUAUCAUUUGAAAUCCAGAAAGCAUUAUGAAAAUCGAUUCUUUGCAACUGAAAGAUUAUCCCCUGUGCCUAGAGUAUCUAAAGGUAAAAAAAUUUGCAAAAUUGCUUAUCUCCCUAAGUGAAGAAAUUCUAGCUCUAUCUGCUGCCCAACCUGAGAACUGUGACUUAAACAUUUAAUUAUUUAUUGUUGGUCCGUGUGAAAACAUUUAGAAUGGCUGGCAGCCUACCAGACCCUGAGUUAAACAUUCUACAGCCUGACUAGACUGCUGGGUAGCCAACUUCACAUCAGAUUAAACACAUUCUCUUCAUGAUGAAUAGCUUGGAACCCAAAAACUUGAUUUUGUUACCAAAAAAAAAAAAAAAAAAAACACACCCAAGGGGUGUGUUGUUUUCUGAAUUAAAAUUAUUUUAUGUUUUACUGCCACAUUCUAAUUGUGAUUGUCAAAAGUAUUUUCUCUGGUGGUGGUGAGAUGGAGAAGAAAUGGACAGUGAGGGACUUUUGGUACUAAUAAAAUUUUAAAAGGACUCCAACAAGGUUGGACACAAUGCAGCCUAGAGAUGAACAUUCAUGAAUUUUGUACAGAAAAAAUUUACAUUUCAUUAACAUUUUAAAUUACAAAGGCAGGUCUACAAAUACUGAUUUGUGUGUGUGUGUUCUCAUUGCAUUUUCCAAGCGAAUGGUGAAUAAUGUAAUGCUAACUGUAUUGUUUUCUUACUAUUUCCCUUUUUAUUUUGAAGUGUAAGCUAACUGUAAUGUGUUAAUUUCAGCGAGGCAUAGAUGACAUUAUCUAUGAAUUUAUGCAUGUAAACUUUAUCAUGUUCCCUUAUGUAAUAAAUGCUUCAGGAUAAUGAAGGGUACUGUGAGCAUCAUUACUCAGCUAUGUAGUAAACCAGUUCUUCACAGACUUGCCAUUCUAGUUCUUCAGCCCAUAAAUAGAAAUCACCUGUCUUGAUAAUGAAUGACAAUAUGAAAAUGUAAUCAUUGAUGAUUAACAUUCACUAGAUUAAGAAAGAAUUCAAUUCUUUGCCAUUCUUUCAAAUAUGUUCUACUUUGGGAAAUUCUGUGAAAUUACAAACAAUCUGAAAGGGUUUUGGAGGAGAUGGUGGCUGACUGUAAUGAAUUGAAACGUUGAAACUAAGAACUCUGUGCUCAAGGGAGCUGGCUGUCCAGCCGGCUGCCAGUUGAUGGUAAUUGACGAGCAGGUGCUUGAAAAAAAUGACGGGAAAGACCCUAUUUUUAGUUAUUGGCAUCAGUGAUAAUGACAUUAUGGCUUUAGGCCAUGAUUGAAGAAGAUACUUUCUGAGAGUAGAGUAGUAUAUCUUGAAUUUAAAGUGUGUUGAUUUUCAACUGCAGGAAAUUAAUAGUGUCUAAAAAUUUUUUAAUGACCAAAAGAAAGCCUUUUGACCAGAAUAUCUCAUUUAAGACCCUGUUCUUACUUGGAGUUCCCGUCGUGGCUCAGUGGUUAAUGAAUCCGACUAGGAACUAUGAGGUUGUGGGUUCGAUCCCUGGCCUUGCUCAGUGGGUUAAGGAUCCGGUGUUGCCGUGAGCUGUGGUGUAGGUUGCAGACGUGGCUCGGAUCCCGCGUUGCUGUGGCUCUGGCGUAGGAUGACAGCUACAGCUCCGAUUAGACCCCUAGCCUGGGAACCUCCAUAUGCCUCGGGAGUGGC